UACGUAGGGAGCAAGCGUUGUCCGGAAUCAUUGGGCGUAAAGCGCACGUAGGCGGCCCUGUAAGUCCGCUGUAAAAGUCAAGGCUCAACCUUUGAAAGCCGGUGGAUACUGCAGGGCUAGAGUCCGGAAGAGGCGAGUGGAAUUCCUGGUGUAGCGGUGGAAUGCGCAGAUAUCAGGAGGAACACCUGUGGCGAAAGCGGCUCACUGGACCAUAACUGACGCUGAUGCACGAAAGCUAGGGGAGCAAACAGG
rnacentral:rRNA from 1 species